GCUACCAUUCCGAACUGUCGCAAACCAAUGCGGCGUUCCGCAAGGAUAGGAGUGGUAGCUUUA
rnacentral:ncRNA from 12 species